rnacentral:rRNA from 1 species
AUUUCUGGGAGCGAACUCCCGGGCGAAUACGAAGCGCUUGGAUAC